GGUGCAGACCUCUUAAUGGCUAAGAAGAUGGACUGACAGUCCUUGGACCUGGGUUUGAGUCCCGGUUGCACUG
rnacentral:tRNA from 1 species